CUCAUUAUGUAGACUUGGCUGGCCC
rnacentral:piRNA from 1 species